AACUGCUGCAAAACAAAGAAGGCAAGACUAGAUUUCACCUCGUUCACAAAAUCUCAGGUUUAAGAUCAAGAAAGAGUAUACGCUCUUGUAGUUCAGUACCAAGGCCAAUGAAUUGGGGAGAAAAUCCUCUUCAUGAGUUGAGUUGCAGGGGUAAGAAGAGCUCAAUAUGAAUACUACGGUGGCAAUUUUUUCUCUGGGUUUUGAAUGGGUAGGCUUCAAAUUUCUGGAAAACAGUAUUUAAAGCUUGAUAUCUAGGAUGGGUAGGCUUGAUGUAUGAACAUAGCAAGUGGCCAUGGGUUUUAAAUAAGAAAAAUUGCUUGUUGUAUUAUGGAACCUUGAACAGAUUGCUCAUAUCUACGACUUCCCAUUGGAUUUUAUUGUAGGAUUGCAAAUUUGCAUUCAUAAAGCUUGAUUCGAUAUAGGCAUGUCUGAGGCAUGAAGCUUUCAAUUGAAGAGCAAGAAGCUUUAAAGUAGGCGUGGCAUUCACUAACUGCGGUGAUCACUGCAACAACAACCCCUAGAUGCUUUGAAGAAGCUGAGGUGAAAUUGGAAUAUAUUAGACCAGGCUUGAACAUUUGAAGUCAAUCCCUUGCCUGAGAUUGAUUGUGGGGAUGCAACUCCUUGGUAACCUAUGUAAGUACACUUGUUUGUCUUUGUUGAUUGCAUUGCAUUGAAUACAUACAAGGAAUCUUUUUGUUGAUUGCAUAUGGCAUGAACCAUAAGAUGGUCUCAAUAUCUUUCCAUGAGCUCGAUUGCGACUAGUUGUUUGGCUUCAUGAUUUGAUUGCAAGAACCACGUUCUUUUGCAAUAAUAUGAAGAGGUCUCUGCUUGGUAUUUAGCAUGUGCAUUUUGCAUAAAAGUAUUGAUCUUUACUUGACUAAUUUACUGCAUAUGGACUCAGUUUAAGAGCAAGGAACCUGACAACAUAUGUAAUUUUGUUGCAGUGAUAACUGACUACUAGAGAUAGGUGCAGGGGCUGUUGAAAGAUGGAGAAAGAGGAUAUGAUGAAAGGCUCUUAUAUUUUGGAGUUUGAACAUGAAUUUAGGGGAAGCAAAUAUGACGAAGCUAGGUUCAGCAUGUGAGUUCACCACCACGGUAAACAUGGUAAAUGUUAGCUUUGGCCUGGGUUUGGGCUGGUAGAGUUUGUUGCCUGAAAUUUGGUGGGUAGAUGAUUGAAUUGGUGGAUAACAGAUGUUGUUGUUUGAAGUUGUGAUGAAAAACAUAAGUUGUUGAAAAUGACAAAACCGUGUAUCAACUGGAAUGUUGGUAAGUGUAUUAGCAUGACUAGGAGUAUAAAGUUGUAAGACGAUAUAGAAUUUGUGAUACUAUCUUUGCUUGUUGCAGCAGUAAAACGUUGGAUAUGGUACGGAUUAUUUUGGUUUGGGGAAAAUUGUGAUAUUAGUCUGCUUAGUUAGGCAUAUGAUAGAAUGUUGUGAUCGAUGUUGAUUAGAUUCAGGUUCUACAGUAGAAUAGUUACUGCAAUGAGUAUAUAUAUAUGACAUGAGAUUUUUUUUGUAUAAUGCUUGGUUUUUUUUUCUUGAAUAAUGUCGUCACCACUUAGCCCCCAAAUGUCUUAGAAUAUCAUCUAAGAUAAGGUGCUUCAAGCCGACGAUUAUGCCUAUGUUUGGAAUUUGGCUUGAUUGAGUUAUAAUUUGCUUGCUGCAAUAGUUUAAGCUUGAUUGAAUAUCGACUUGACUGAAUCUUGUUUCCUGCUUGAUUAAGCAUUGAUUGCUUGAUAGAGUAUUACUUGUUGCUUGAUAGAGUAUUGCUUGUUGUAUGAUUGAGUUUUGUUUGCAUGUUCUAACGGUUUCCUUCAAAGCAUGUCUAUUGUUUGAAAUCAACAUAUGGUUAAGCUUUGAGAGAGAGCAUGAAUGGAUUGACUGGCUUUCUAUGCUUAAGAUGGGGAUUUUAUUUUUACUUGAAGGCUUUGAAAAGAUAAACUUGUGCUAUAGUAAGAAAGAAUUCACUACAGCUCCUAAUGAGCUAAUGAAAGAUACCAGUUUGAUUUGAUGAAUAGCUAGAUACAAAUAUACGAAGGAAAAGCUAGGGGUUAAAGAAUGGCAUUGGAGCUUGUGUGCCUGACUAAAAUUUUGGUUUGAAGUUCCCAAGACAAUGAAAUUUAACAUGAUAUGUGGAUCUUGUCUGCUGACUUUAUUGUGCUGCAAUGUUCAGUCACAUACAUGACUGAUGUGUAAAAGAGUACUUGCAUAUUGUAUAAAAAUGUGUUUAUGCUUUUUCUAAUAGUGCAAACUAUUGACUUGUGCAUGUCAGUAGCAAGAACAUAACUUCAAACGCUUGAUUGCUUGAUUUGAAUAAGGAUUGACUUGUGCAUGUCAGUAGCAAGAACAUAACUUCAAACGUCUUGAUUGCUUGAUUUGAAUAAGGCUUUAAGUGCAUGAUGCUUGAAUUUCUUGCUUUGAGCUUUUUUUUUUCUUUUUUUACAAGAAUAAUCUUUUUUUUCUUCUUUUUUUCGCAGCAGUGACUUAUGGUGCUAAUAUCAUAUGCAAAUAUCACAAUUGUCUCGCGAUUUAUAGCAUGCAAUGAUAUGGUAAUCUCCGGCAUAAAGAUGUAGCUUGUUUGCUUGCCGCAAAACAUCAAAUAGAUUUGUGAAGCUUCUAAAAGUAAGAAGACUGAAGAUGAGUGGUGAUAAGGUUAUAAGGAGAAUAACUGAGGUGAGCAACAUAUUUGUUUCUUUUUGUUCAGAUCUGGAAGAGCAAAA
rnacentral:lncRNA from 1 species